AGUUAUUCGCCCUGGAUCUGAGUCACCUUGGAACCACACACAAAAGUCGUCUCACUCUGUGUAAAAGGUAGUGAAGAUGCAACCCUUUGAAACAUUGCACGACAAUCGCCCUUCUGUGCCAAGGUACAACCUUCUGUAUUCGGUGCAGCUUUCGCAUAGCUCUUCGGUUGCCGGCCAUUGAACGAGCCACCGUUUUCCCUCGAAGCAUCUGCAAAUAGAAAUAACAAACCGUAAGAACGUAAGAGAGCCUUGAUCAUUCUUAUGAGCCGCUGAAAAUGCGAACGAAUAAGAGGACAUCACUGAGGUUUUGCCGAGGCAAUCUGAAGCAACUUCAGCCCUUUUGACCUCUGAACGUGCCACAUAUCGAACAAUUCAAACAUUGCAUUCAGACGAGAGAAACAGGCUCCCUAUUUCAACUCAGUUAUUCGUUAUUUUGGCUUCCUGUCAAAACCAGCACAAUCACCCAUUUUGCUCUGCUGAAUCCGCUUGAUUUAUGAAGGUGAACACAAUGGAGUAGCCAACGUGGUCAUCUACGGUACAGACGCCUCGGAUUUGUGUGAAGCGAUUAGCGGAGGACCGGAGUUGGCCACUUCUUCAAUGAAUGCUACCGUGAUGUAUCACUUCACUUCGUCAACAGAAAAAGGCGGUGCUCGGAAGGGCUGUACGAAUUACAUUGUUGUGAGACUUCCCCACACUAUGAACUCUGCCUUCUGCAGGAAAGCGUGCCUGACUUGGCUUAACGAGGCCCUCAUGAACUUCCUUUUCGUCAAAUGGACCGCUGCGUGAAGAACUGAAAUUGUCAAUGGCUCUCACGUGAAGCUGGGACCAUGAUGUUCAGCUUUACAGUGUGUUUUGUAGAGCUUCGGGCCUGGUUCCUUAGAUCGUUGGAAUCUUAUUUUCAGAUUAAGCGUACGUAGAUGGGGCUAGACCGUGCUGAUUAGAUUGAAUUUGUGAUGAAGAAUACCUAGAGGUAAGCCGAGCAGUAAUUAAGCAUGGCCGUCACAAAUACGUGGGAAGAGGAAUAUGGUGAUUGGAAGUAAAUGAGAUGAAAUUAACGGAGGAAAAUAAUAUAGGCGGAGGUACAGAAAUAACAAGCCGCGCGCGACGCAUGGCGUGUCCCUUAAGUAAAGUGCAUUGCAGCCAUAGUAUAUGUCGCUACCGUAUAGUGUAUCGAGUCACGUACUCUUAAAGCGCGUACUGGUUCAUAACGUGGUUCACAGCUGAACACAGGUUAAGGCCACACUUCUUGUUAUGAGCACAGGCAACCAACCGUGCUGCGAGGUGCGAGACCACUUUACCGAU